rnacentral:rRNA from 1 species
UACAGAGGUGGCAAGCGUUGUUCGGAAUUACUGGGCGUAAAGGGCGCGUAGGCGGUCUUGCAAGCCCUGUGUGAAAUCCCUCGGCUCAACUGAGGAACUGCACAGGAAACUGCUUGGCUUGAGUUCGGGAGAGGGAAGCGGAAUUCCGGGUGUAGCGGUGAAAUGCGUAGAUAUCCGGAGGAACACCGGUGGCGAAGGCGGCUUCCUGGACCGACACUGACGCUGAGGCGCGAAAGCUAGGGGAGCAAACGGG